rnacentral:ncRNA from 1 species
AAGACCUUGUGGAGCUUAAGUCGCAUAACUCAACACAUACUAACAUUCAACCUAUCAGAACAAACUGUAUAGGCUACUGAGUUAUAGUCUUUGGUUGGGGUGACCUCAAAGCAUAAAACAACCUCUGAAUGAAUAUAACCUAGAUUAACCAAUCUAAGUGUAACAAUACCAGUAUUUGACCCAUCUCUUGAUCAACGGAACAAGUUACCAGGGAUAACAGCGCAAUCCUAUUUGAAAGCCCAUAUCAAAAAUUAGGGUUUACUACCUCGAUGUUGGAUCAGGACACCCAAACGAUACAACCGCUAUUAAAGGUUCGUUUGUUCAACGAUUAAAGUCCUACGUGAUCUGAGUUCAGACCGGAGAAAUCCAGGUCGGUU